rnacentral:lncRNA from 1 species
UUCAUGAGUGAAAAUUGGAAGUUGGAAAAAUUCAGCGCGCCAGCCAACACGGGCCGUGCCAGGCAACACGGCCGGCCGUGUUGGCUCUCAAUUAUAAAAAUAUCUUUUUUUUUUUCUUCAGACUUGCUGACACGGGCCGUGCCAAGCAACACAGGCCGGCCGUGUCAGCCCCCUGGUUUUUGUAUGGGAACAAAUGUUUUCUUGCAGCACGGGCCGUGUCAGAGACACGGGCCGUGUUUGGCUCCAGGAAUUUUCUUCUAUUUUUU